GACAGAGGCCUCGAGCGUUAGGCGGAAUCACUGGGCUUAAAGCGUGUGUAGGCGGAUCGUUAAGUACCUUGUCAAGUCCCACGGCUCAACCGUGGAACGGCUGGGUAUACUGGCGGUCUUGGGCCAUUCAGGGGCGACUGGAACAAGCGGUGGAGCGGUGAAAUGCGUAGAUAUCGCUUGGAACGCCGAAGGUGAAAACAGGUCGCUGGGGAUGUGCCGACGCUGAGACACGAAAGCCAGGGGAGCAAACGGG
rnacentral:rRNA from 1 species